rnacentral:tRNA from 5 species
GGCCCCAUAGUGUAGCUUGGAUAUCACACUGGUUUGCGGAACCAGUAACCCGUGUUCGAAUCGCGGCGGGGCCGCCA